GACUGUAGCCCGGGAGACAGCGUUUCAGAGACCUCUGAGAAACUGCUCCGAAGAGGCGGGAGGAAGGAGUCUUCUUUAACUGUGGUUCAAGCGAUGGAUACAGAAAACACUCAGCUGUUUCCGUGCCUUGCCCGGAGGCAAUGAACCGACAGCUGCAAAACAACCAAAAUAAAGUGACCUCCUGAGGAGUGGAUGGAGCGCCACCUGGAGGUGGGAGAUGAACCCUGCGGGGAGAAGGAAAUGUAACCAUGGACACCCCGCAAAGACUGAGGGUUUCCUCACAGGACCUGUUGGAGGGGAAGCAUCUACGGACAACACGUGAGAAAACUGCAGCCUUGAGAAAGGGAGGAGGAGGAACAGAAGCGCCAGCUGUCCAACUUUCCCAACACAACUUGUUGAAGAGACUGUCUUUUCUCCAUUGUAUAGUCUUGCCUCCUUGUUAAAGAUUAAUUGAUUGUAGGUAUGUGGGUUUCUUUUUGGGCUCUCUAUUUUGUUCCAUUGAUCUAUGUGUUUGUUUUUGUGCCAAUACCAUGCAAUUUUGAUUACUGUAGCUUUGUAGUGUAGUCUGAAGUCUGGAAGGGUUAUGCCUCCAGCGCUGUUCUUUUUCUGCAGGAUUGCUUUGGCAAUUCUGGACAUUUUGUGUUUCCAUAUAAAUUUUAGGAUUAUUUGUUCUAGUUCUGUGAAAAAUACCAUUAGUAUUUUGAUAGGGAUCACAUUAAAUCUGUAGAUUGCUUUGGGGAGUA